rfam:Sorghum bicolor cultivar BTx623 chromosome 10, whole genome shotgun sequence.
AUUCCAUGAUGGGUACAUUCUAGGAUGUAGUCUUGAAAGCGCUCCCAUGCUUCUGGAACAGAUUCAUCAUUUUGAUGCUGAAAACUUGUAAUCUUCCCACGGAGAGC